rnacentral:lncRNA from 1 species
CAAGAGACAUAUACAAUAUAUAUUUGAAAAUUUAAGAUUUAUUUAUAGCAAUCAAGCAAUGGCAAAUUUUGCACCGAGGUCCAUUCUGGUGGCACUUUUCCUCCUCGCGAUAGUUCUCUCCCCAGCAAUGCCAUGUGAGGCAACUCGACUGCCUCAGCGAGGUUCAUAAAUAAUUCUAUAAAUGCAUUUAUUACAUAUAAUUAAUUAGUCAAUCAAUUCAUU